CCUACGGGAGGCAGCAGUGAGGAAUAUUGGGCAAUGGGGGCAACCCUGACCCAGCCAUGCCGCGUGAGUGCAGAAGGUCUUCGGAUUGUAAAGCUUCUUCGGACGUGACGAUGAUGACGGUAGCGUCUAAAGAAGGAGCGGCAAACUACGUGCCAGAAGCCGCGGGACUACGGAGGGUGCGAGCGUGGUUCGGAAUUACUGGGCGUAAAGGGAGUGUAGGCGGGUUUGUAAGAUAGCGGUGAAAUGCCGGGGCUCAAGCCCGGAACUGCCAUUUUGACUAUGGAUCGAGAGUAAAGGAGAGGAUAGCGGAAUACCCAGUGUAGCGGUGAAAGUCGUAGAUAUUGGGUAGAACACCGGUGGCGAAGGCGGCUAUCUGGCCAUUUACUGACGCUGAGGCUCGAAAGCAUGGGGAUCAAACAGGAUUAGAUACCCGUGUAGUC
rnacentral:rRNA from 1 species